AAUGCCCUGCUGUGUGCGUAGUGUUGCGUAUACGUCCUGAACCAACACCCAUACGUGGGGUCCCAAUCUCACGGCAUACGACGCGAUAGGCCUGAGCCAAGGCGGAGUUGUCGGGGCGGGGCCCAACCUGCGUGAGCAGGUUCAGACCUUCGCAACAUACGGCAUGGCGGGGCAGUC
rnacentral:other from 1 species